AGAUUUCUGCUUUGGGAACCAACAGGUCUUACCUUGAGGACCCAGCCCUGAUCACUCAGCCUAAUUGUGGAGCUCCUGCUUUGCUGCCUGCUUGGGGCAGGUGGCCCUGGUUUUCAAAAUGGGGCAAGCUGUAGGUGGUGCCAGCUUCAGGGACCGCACCCUGCUUCAUCAGGAGCAGUUCUUCAAAUGAUAGCUUUCUCCUGGGACCUGGUGUAGCAGGUGGCUAUGGAGAGCUGUGAUGCACCUGAAGACCUGUAGAAGACAGCUUGCACGCCAUCUAUCUGCUACAGCACAGGUUGAAGGUAGAGACACAUUACCACGAUGAUGUGUUAUCCUCAAGGAGUUAUGACUCGACAAGUAUUUGUUCCAGGACAGUAGGGCUCCAUCAUGCUCUGGCCCCAUAGCAUUUCUCAGAAAUUAUUCACAGCAUGAUCUUUCCCACCCAUUAAACACAAGAGAUUUAGGUCAAUCCCUCAGGCACAAAGCAGGAUGACAACAAAUUUUAGACAGAAGCUGAGUCCUUGGAGACCGUGCAAGAGGUUCUCACAUUAUUACAAGUAUUGACUGUGGGCAGAGAUCAAUGUGGCUGCUUAAAUCACUGCUAAGCCAGAUUUAUUCUUCUGUGUGUGGCACAAGAAGGCUUCAAGUAGCAUGCUCUGAAUAACGACAAGGCUACAACUGUGCAGGGAGCAAACCAAACCUCCCAAGUGACCACAUAGACUGUAAAGAAGUUGCAGAGCACCUUUGCAGCUCUUCUUAGCAUUGCUUUGUGCUCUCUCUCUUUCAAAGUCUCUCCAGGGCUGGAGGAAUCUGCACAAGGCCGGUGCUUCCCAGCUGUUAGCACUCCCCUGGUGGCGCAGGGUGGGCAUCUGUGCUAUGUCACACUGCCCUGCUGCUGGCAAGUGUUCCCUUUGGUCACCGCACUUGUGCAUGGCUUGGUUUUGCGUGCCAAAUCAUCGUUAUUAGCGACAACCAUCACCUCCAGAAAGUUUCUUCCAAAGCUUCUCCUUUAGGCCUUUUUCAGCCCAGCGCAAAUAAUCGGCGAAGGUUUUGUGUUAUUUAAAUUUCUCUUCAAAGGCCUCGGCACCCAGGAUGUGUGGAAGGGCUGCGCACAGACCCGCAUUCCUUUCCAGAGCAGCAUGCAUGCCACAACAGACGCACCUACCAGAUCUGUAUGUACUAAAUCUCUGAAUACCUACCAGAUCUGUAUGUACUACAGGCUCAGCCAGACAUAUGGUUGAAUCCCAAAUGCCAUCAGUUCUCCGAAAUAGAAUCCAGGACACGGCACUGAAGUCUAUAGCAUAUUCUUAUGGCACUUCUUUUAGCUGAAGAGAUCCAGCCCAUACUUGUUACUGUGACUCAUGGUAUCUGAAUCACUUUAAAAUGUUGCGCUGAACCUACAGAAGAAAUAAACUAGCAGCUUUAUAGACAUCUAGACUGUGCUAAGUCUCCUAUCUCUGUACGGGGUUGAAUGCACAGCCUGACCUUUUGUCUCCUUCCAUCCAAAUCUCUUAAAUCUGUUUAAAAAUUCUAGGCAGAAGUUUGAAGAGGAGGUAAACUAUUUUUUUUUUUACGUGUUGUAAGCAACGUAAAAAGGAUGACCAGGACAAAAUUGAUGCAAGUUGCUGCCAUCAGUCUGUGCUGCAGCAUAGUCCAACCCUUCCUUGCCAAUCCUGCAGUUAUCUGACACGGUAAUUUUAGUUAAUGCACUGUCAGGCACAAGCAGUACAAAACCACGCAGCUGUAUUUAAGCACCUACCCACUAAAGGAACAAAAAUAUGCCUUCCUUGGGGCGGCCGUCAUCAAUAAGCUGUCGCUCCAUUUGCAAUUCGAAACGCAUCGAAGCCACGCAGGAAAGCUGCUGUAAACCACACGCCUCGGCAGGCACCUUCGCUUCCCGGGUGGUUCCUGCUGCAGUAGGAGCGCUGCGGAGCGCGAUCCACGGCGAGGUGUUGGGAGUGUGAUAGCCAAGUGCUCCGCGUGUCGUUUCUUUUUCUGACUGCCAGGUUGGAGGUGCCCCCGGCAGCACCCAUCCUCGGCACCGGGAGCUGGCGUGAAGGAAACAGCCGGGGCUGGCAGAGCAGAAGUGAGGAGAGCAGAAGGCAUGAGAGGAGCCUCGCUGCUAGGGGCAGCCCAGCCGACCCCGGCGCUGCCCCUGCUUUACAAGCGUGGUGGGCGUGCAGGAGGAAGGAAGGUAACUGUUAAACUUGUGAGAAACCUCCGGAGGGACAGCAAAGGAAGCUGCACGGUACUGUCUGCCGGACUGGAUAAGACAAGGAAGAGGGAGGCCAGCUUUCUGCAUGCAGCUUGUUCUCAGAAAAUCACCAUAAACCCUGCAGUGCAGAAACAUCUUGCCUUCUGCACUGUGAAAUAUCCAUCCCUUUUCUCUCAGGCUCUUUUUCCUCCUCUCUGUCACCAGCAUACCCCACUCCUACUCCGCAAUGCAACUUGUGCCAGUGUAGACAAGGUGGCACAGGAUAGGCACUACGGUCUGGUGUGGGAAUAAGAUACCAAAAAAUGCCUACUGUGCUCUGGCCCUGCUAAGUUUUGAGUUGUUUUGUUAUUUUUGUAUUUAUUUAUUUUUUGGUCUGACUGUCCCUUGGCUGGGGUUUUGUAAUAGCUUAAGGGACUUAAAUGUACUUGAGAUAUAUAUAAAGACUGGAUUUAUAGUGGGCACAUGAGCGUGCAGUCAGGGAAUGAAUGGCAUACCUCGUUCUCCCUGAGUUCCAGUGCAGAUUAGGCUGGCUAUUGAUCCUCAUAUACACUUUUAGUUAUUUCGCCAUAACUUUCUACAUGACAGCUCAUUUAGGUCUGUUUAAAAACCCAGCCUACACCUACAAAUGCAGUCAGAGGCUUUUGUUUUAUAGCACUCAGCCUUAACUUCCCACCGUGCCUCCAGUCCAGCAGGAAGGAGCUGUUAGUACGCUUGCUCUCGCAUCCAAGACCCCCGUUAAAAGCCCCACCAAGCUGACACAAACAAGGCCAGUGGACUGUGCUGCUCAGUGACCAGACGGAGCUGCAUGCCUUUCUUUUAUCCCAGUUUUCCGUGGCGCCAAGCCUGAGACCAGCAAGCCAAGCCUGACUCACGGGUGGGCUGCCCCGCGAGCGAACAAUGUAGAUGUGCAGCGAGAGAUUAGCAAACAAAAGCCUAGGAGUGUCUCCGUCCAAAUUAAGUAACAGAUGGACCUGGGCUGUGUGGGGGCUGAUAACGGUUAUAAAAAGGCCAUCACCAGACUGCGGCCAGCCCACCCUGGAAAAAACCCACUCGGUUGUAAAUCCUGUGCGCUGUUAUAACUGCCUGCGCGAGUAAGGCUUUAUUUUUACCAGCUAUCAUAAAACAGCACGGCUUAUUUUAGAUGCAUGGCUUGUAGUGCUCACUUAAAGGGUUGCCAAAUCUCUGAUAGACACCUACAAACAGAGGAGAUGUGCCUGCCUGGGCAGGGAACGGGGAGCAUGAUUAACCUACGGAAGGCAAAUGCAGUGGUACAGAGCGGUGUUUGGUGCUCCGCGUGGUACUGCCUUGUGCUUUCCUCCUCUCCUACGUAGCUAGGUGAUGGCACUCGUUUCUUCUUAAAUGCCUGUAAUAAGGGAGUCUCUGGCAGUCUCAGCAGGACCAGGACCCCGCAGUACAAAGCUGCGUGGAAGAUGAUUGAAUAUUUGCAUUCAUCUGAAGAUGUGAGCAUUUCAGGAUUUGCUCAUAAUUCGCUCUUCCUGCUCACCACUAGAAGAAGGCAAGGGAAUGUCUGUCUGUAAAUGGAGUCGUGGAAUAAAAUCUUAACCUGUUUAAAGCUCUUAAUUUAAACCAGCACCUUAAAGACCUGACUGUAUUUGCUGCAGACAAGGCCCAUUAGCAUCCAAACCAUGCACACAGUCCUUUUUUUCCUUCUUCUUCUUUUCUUUCUUUUUCUUUUUUUCUUCUCCCUCUUGGACAGGAGGAUUUGCUGCUCUACCUCCUAAUCAGACAGCAAAGCCAUUGGUAUACAUACAGCCUACACACCCCCACUUAGUCGUGAAACAAGUUGCUAGCAAGCAGAUACAGAGCCCUGUUAAGACAAAAGCCUCUCUGCAAAGCAGCUUCUUUCAGCAGACAAACAUUCCUCCUCUCUUCCACACAGGGAAGGAAACAUAGGUGUUGCCUGGUGAAGACUGCACGGUGCUUUCUGAUGCUUUCCCAAGAUCUGGUUUUGUUGUGUCGGGUUGCAGCUGCAGACACAUUGCUUCACGUAUCCAUCUGACAAGGCCUUCUGGAGGUAGGAAUUUCACAAUCUUUGGUUGUGGUUUUGCUCAUGGCAUCACGGCAUGUUUAGGGGUAUUAAGGCCCAGCAUAUCUGCGCUCUCACCAACACGAGGCAGCCUGUUCUCGUGAUGAGAUCUGCACACCACCUGCUUUGCAAAUCCUGAGGCCUGUGCUAUCAGGAGGCAUCACGAGCCGUGCUCCAGAGCUGUCUGAACAGGGAGAGCUCGUGCUUACUCAAUGUCUUAGCACAAGCCUGAGCUCUUACUGGACAUGUUGAGCUCAGAUCCAGGUCCUCUGGCAGGUUGUCAUGCCCUGUUCUUCCUAAGAGCAGAGGGAUGCUUUAGGAGAGAGGCACGGCUGAACCAGCAGCUGGCGACCCAGUGAGGAAGCUCCUAGGCCGCUGGGCCUAACCUACUUACCCCAUCUUGAUGAAAUAGCUCUUUACCCAUCAGGACAGACAUCAUUCAAGAGACCAAGAGCCAGAUUUGCAAAGGUAUUUAAAUGCUGUUGACAUCACGAGGAAGAUAGGCAUUUAAUACUUCAUAGAUGUGGCUGGACAUGCCUUGCCCAACACCUUAAUCUAGUCCUAGCUCUCCUGUUUUCCCCAACUCAUACCCCAGUUUCUGGGAAAGGACUUUCUGGGAGAGGACAGCACAUAUGUGCAAGAUAGGAAUGAAGCAAUACGUGGUUGGAUACCUAAAAUCUACUACCAUAGAGACAGAAGUAGAAAGGGCUAGAGAGUUCAAUAGAAUCACAGAAUAUCCUGAACUGGAAGGGACCUACUCAGAUCAUAGAGUCCAACCCAAAGAAAAGAUGGAAGAAGUCUGACUUUCCCUCUCAAAAUCUGGAACAAGGAGUAAUCAAGAGAGAACAGGAAGGAAAUGUAAAGGAAAGCUGUGCAGAGAAGACGCUGUCAUUACUCGCCCUUGCAGCCCUGAGUUGUUUCUCCCUUCCCAGGAAAGAAAUGUGAGGCUGAACUGAAAGUCUCAUUUUCCUUGGGUAAGCAUCAGGGAGCACGGCACACAGCUCCUGCAUUGCAUCAGAUACCACUAACCAAGGGAUUAAGUCUUGCCCAGAUCAUUUAUUUUGCCUUGCUACAGACCUCUGAGGUCAAGCCCCUUGCACAGAUGCUUUGGGCUUGCAAUGUUACACUGCCUCCAGAAGGAAAAAACAGGGGCAGGUGGCCUUGCCGUGUGGCUCUGAGGGAAGGCCAUUAGGCAGAGGAGCUGCUAAUUACGUAGGCACCAAGUUUUUGGCAAAAGCCAGAAGAGAAAUAAGGCAACAAGGAAAUAAUUACAGAUGACUUGGCUAGGAAUGUAUUAAAACGGUCACAUUGUACUGAGCAUUGUUUGUGCCAUUUUCAUUAACAAAUGAACAGCUUAAUUACAUCUUCACGCUGGGCAGGCUCACAGCCAAUACUUGACCAUGAAAAUUAGUGCAUUCACUGAAAACAGGACAGGAGCAGACCUCAAAAGGUCAGCUCAUCCCCACCUUGCUUUAGGACAUGAAAACCCAAGGAAUACAACUGGCUGGGCCCCUGGAUGUGUGUGGAGACUCUUGUGCAGUGUUUCCCCGUGAUCACUUUCAUCUCUUACAGGGCUUUACGUUCAUCAGUUAAGCUUUGGUCUCCUCAAAUUCAGUGUCCCCUCCAAUUCUGUAAGGACAUACAGCUCCUGAAACUGAGGAUUGGGAAGUUACAGAAGAGUAAGGAAUGCACCACAUCAGCCCGCAGUGGACAGUCACUUCUGUGACCUUACAACAGCAAAAGUAGAGGACAAAAGCGGUGAGCACUAAAGACAAGUGGGACUAUUUGCACAGGGCAAAUCUGAAACCAGCCCUUCCUGCCUAUUCCCACUUGCCUUCCAUUCUUUUCCAAGCCAGCCCCAGGAAUUGCCAUAUUGGCACAUCCUACAUUAUUUUUCACUUCAGCAAGUCCCUUUCCUCCUCAAAGUGGCAGAUGCUGAUACCAAAUUAGUGCCAAGUGGGAGGGAACCAGCUGAUAACUGUGAUAAGAGCCAGAGGCAAUGGUCUUCCUCCUGUCCUCUCCUUUCCUCCCGUCAGGCUCUCGUGGCAGCAGACAGAUGUUAAAGGAAGUCUCCAGGGUACAGUCAGGCCAGUGAUGCAUGGCAGGGACCUGUGGACAGGCUCAGGGAGACAGAAUGAUCUCUAACAGGAAAGGGGCAAGUGGGACAAGCUUGUUUUUUUUUUCCCCUUGUGUGGGAAUUUGACUCAAGGAUUGCUGAGAAUCUCAUAAGCCAAAGUGACGUUUUCCAGGCUGAGUGCCAGCCGAUGCACAGACUUGGUCUCAGCAGGUAUUUGACUUCCACGGGAGCUGGGGUGCUCGAUACCUGCCUGACCCUGCCUUUUGAUGAGGACACACGUAUCAAAAGCUGCCUGAAAUGCAAAGACAGGAAAUAAGCGGAUAUGCUAUCAGCACCAGGCUUUGCAAUGCUCUUUAGUGUCUGGCUGUGUCCCAACCAUCAAUACAGAGACUCACAGGGUUUUAGCCUAUAAUCCUCUAUUCCUCUGUCUGUGACUCUAAUCUCUUGAUCCCUAGGUCUCCUCCAGCCUAUAGCUUGACCAACAAAGCACAAAUUUGAAGUUCUGCUUAUCAGAGACCAACCAUGUCAUCUUCCUGUGGAAAAUGGGAGUUGGGGAGAAGUAGCAGACGUCAGAGCCAGGAGCUGAUAGCAGGCUAGGGAAGGGAACGGGAGAGGGCGUGAGCAAGCACACACACAGAAAGCAUUUAUGACAAGGCUGAAAACAGCUCUCCUUUUAAGAGCAUUUUUUUUUCUUUCAGAUUUUACAGUAUCAUUUUGCCUCUCUUUUUCAUGUGUAUAAUUCUAGCCCGGGGUAUAAAACAAUUGUGUAGCUAACGUGUUGCACAGAACAUGUACAAAUGGAUGCUGCCAGCAAGUGACUGUGGGCACCGAGGGAGCGCUCACAGCUGCCUAGGAGCUCGAUACCCUGAGCCUGUGAAACCACUGCUGUCAUUCCAUGCAGGAGACGGCCGCUUCGAAGCUUUGUAACAAAUCUGUCAGAACAAAGGAUGCAGAUUUGCAGGGGAAAACCGCUUUCAGCAGGCCACGCGCAGGCCUGAAGACGUGAGCUGGGGGAAUAUCCUUCCAGGGGCUGCCCUGAAUCACGGGAACAGAUCCGAAAGGACUUACCUCAUUACCAUCAGCCCGAGCACAGGCUUCAGACCUGCAGAGGGAGUUGUGCUGCAGGGUUCAACAGAUUUCUUUAGGAAGCACAUCGGGAAUUAAAGGUAGCCCAAAUGAAGUCACUGACAGACACAGAUGAGACACUGGAUGCAGAGGGAGCACUGCUAGGAAGACGCUGGCAUAAAUUAGCAGGAGAAGCAGGGGGAAAUAAGGCAACGUCAGAGCAAAGAGGGAGGAGGAAAGCCCCUCUGCCCUGUCCCAACCUGGAUUCCUGACCACAGCAAGCUUGGUUAGCAGAGCAGAAACGAGCCUCGGCCAGCGAGGUUCAAAGUUUCCUUGUCCUGGGGGAGUUGAGAGAGCCACAUAUCUGAGAACUUCUCCCAGACCCUAGCUUGUUUUUCUCCUUAAACAUCUCUCGCAGCUAUUUUUAGCAGAGAAUUUUCUCAGCCGCCCGCUCCCAGUUGGGCCCUGGUCACAGCCCUUUUCCCAGCGCCAUGGGCCCAGCAGCGGAAGGGUUGCUGCUCUGCAGGGAAGCGCCUUCCUGGCCACGAGCUGUUCCCCAGGUCAGCUGAGCCCCGUGUCACUGUGCUGCUGACUUUGGGGUUUACAUGCGGAGCUGCCAGGCUUCCCCUGAGGCACACCAGGCUGGUACAGGCACACCAAAUGCUCUCACAGACCCCAAAGCCAGACGCGGGGUUACAAUUCUGUGUGUAAUUUCAGAAGGAGCUAAAGUAGAGGGUGGACUGGACUUGAUAACUGUCUGUAGGCUUUUUACGAGUAUGAAUGGCAAGAAAGGUGGGAAGGAGAUGGGAAGAAAUUAUUAGGCUGACAUUAAUAACAGGAUCUGCUUCUCAGCACCAAAAUCUAUCUGGAUUCCUUCCAGGUCCUCCAAGGGAAACAGUGGAAGCCUUUAUUGUUCAUAAAAGUUGCAACUAAAUUCGGACUGGAUGAAGCUUAAGGAAAUACCUCUUGGAGGACAACCCUGCCUUGGCUGCUGGAAGCCGAUGAGGUAACUCCCUUCCUCUUCUCUGGUUCUCUUGGGGCCCUUAUUCCUCCUCAGCCAAAAUGCUAACCUGUCCAUCAGCUCCUUGGCUCCCCAGCUUCCAGCGCAGAGCAAGCUCUCUGCCUGCUCUGGAUGUCUGCCUGUGUGCAAUUAGCAAAGCAUCAGUUAACACAAAGGGACGGUUCACAGGGAAGCAACGACUGCAACUUCUUUCAUCUGGGGCUCGAUUUAAUACCAGCCUGCCAGAGGCAGGCAUUUCACUCAGAGAUUGGGGCACGUAGGUGGGCAAAUCGAGUAAAGCAGGACCGAAUCCCUGCUAAUGUGCAGGGGUCCCUGGGGGCCUGAAUGCUCUCAGUGGUGUGGGUGAGACACGGGGCGGCUGCGUCCCAGUGCUGCAGAGCUGCAGCGGUCAGCUGCUUACAGCAGAGCCACAGUCAAGGAGGUCCCUCUAACAAUGGCCCCUUCUUGGUCAGUGUAUCUGUUGCCUGUGUGUCUUGGAGUCAUGUCAGUGAAACGAACAGAUUGGGAACAUAUUUGUACUCCCCACAGCAGUACAGAAGCCAACCCAGGCAGAGGAGAGCAAGCUGGGCUCUUUUCUGCUCCUCGCCUCGGCGCCAAGUUUCCAGCUCUGCUUGAAACCUGUGGCCGAGCCCUGCUUUGGCAGGGGUGAAGCGAGAGGACAGGCAGGGUCAGGAAAUACUCUACUUCCAGCUCGUGCUUGCAGAAGUUGGCAGCUGGCUACAAGAAAAGGAAGCCAGGCCGAACUCAAAGAGCUACACACCUCUGAAGGCCCCCACAGGAGAUUAAAUCUGGCUCUCUGCACCUUUGCCCUUCUCCCUGGCUAUGCUUAAACAAAUGGGUCCGAGAAUAGCAUUCACCUGGGACAGCCCACAGAUGCUGCGUGAGGGCUCAUCCCUUCAAAAAAAACCCUUCAAAAAGCUUCUCCGAGCCUAGCAAGGAUCCCAGGAGCCCAGGAUUUCUCUGCGACCUUCAUGUACACGUUCCAAAACACGGGCACUUAACCUUUGUGGCUCCCUUGAAAAUCCCAGCGCCAGCGUUUUAUGGAUGAGUAUGUUUCCCCUAACAUCUGCCCCCUGUAUCAGAUGCUGCCAGAGCCUCUCUCUCUUCUGGCUCUGCUCCCAGCUGAAGGACAGACAAUAGGCAUUUGAAUGCAGUCUCCACUUCCCCUCCCUAACAGCCUGGGGGAGAUGGCACACUGGAGCCAAGACAGCACUGAAAGCACAGCCUGCCAGCCAGCGACAAGUCUCUCUAGAUCAUGGCCUGCCUCUUCUUCCCCUCCCAGUGUAGCUGAACCACUGGCUGCAGUUGUUACUGGGCAGCCAGGCCAGCUCUGCUGGGCACUAAAUCCUGGCAGCAUCCCACCAAGCGCACCGAGGGAGCCCUAGCACACUGCUACUACGGUCAGCUUGGUCCCCCUCCAAAUGCUGCCAAAACCAGCUCACCUCUGAGUUCCCAACCUUGCUGGCCAGGGCACUGGUUAAUCGACCUCUCCUGUACCUCUCUGCCAUGCCAACUCACCUGGAGAUGUGCUGGCUACCUCUUGGGCUUCCCCUCGCUCGCUCCCACCAGCAUCUUGCUGUAAUUAACUGACCCAGGCGGUGUGCCGGGCACGGAGGAGCAGCGGGUUUGACAGGGGCUCCAUGAGAACUGGUUUGGAUCUUCCUAAAGAGCCAUUGUUCUGCCUUUCUAGAAAUAGCUCUGCUUCUUGCAUCCCGGAGCUGUUCAGCCUGUUUGGCACUGCUUCUGCUGCUUCAGAAACAACAACAGAGCGAGGAAAAACCUGUCUAGACACCAUUUACCUUCCAUCAACUCCCAUUGCCACAUCAAAGCACCACUUCAAACAAACCUACACACUGGCCAAGUAAUAAUCCCCAGCUCUCCUGUGUCUGCUCCAGCCAGAGGCAGGCAGAUCCGUCCCAUCGUGCUUCAGAGUUCACCUUUAAUCUGAGCUCUUCUGAGAACAGGAAGAGAGAGAGGAUGAAAAAUCUCAUUACAGGACCAUCAUCAGCAGUCACCUGGCCUCACGCUGCUCGAGGAGGACCCACCUGCUUUCUGCUCAGCACCCAGGUACAAGCAGAAAUCUCACCUGCCUCCUAUCAGCAAUCUGCAAACACCCUUUGAAAAGCAACCAAGUAAAGGAAAGCAAUUUUCUUUGCAAACCUUUGCUGGGGCUGGAGCAGGCAGUGAUGUGCAGGGUCUCUCCCACUGCUGUGCAGCACGUGGCCUGCAGCUUGCCAGCAUGCUGCAUUCGCCUGAAAUUGGACGAGACAGAGUGCUGUGCUGCAAAAAUCCACUAAAGGGCAAGGCAGUGGCUGUGCUGCCAUCAAUUGUUUCAGACGCAGUUCUCUGCUUGAAAGGGGAAUGGCAACGUGAGGGCUGCUCAUCAUCCCGAGCAGGCAGCUCCGCAGCAGUUUUAAGGGCCAGGCAGGCCCGAGGUCUGCAGCACAUCAGACAUGUUCUGGAGGGCCCUGCAGCCCGGCUCCGAGGACCCCUCACCUCCCCAAAGCUGCUUGCAUGAAUGCUGGGCAAACUUUGCCACAAGCCAGAGAUCAAAGAUCCUGUGCUACCCAGGGAAACUGAAGUCACCAAGAGCAGCAAGUCACCGAGUGGGACGAAGUCAGAGGAGCUCAGGUAAAUGCUCAAGAUGCCUUCGAACCCAAAGGGGCAACAGCAUUAAAGGAGCUGGAGAGGCUUUUAGGUCACUUGAGCACAGAUUACUUGAAGGCACCUUUGGGGAAGCACCUGGCACCAGCAUCAAGCCCUGGCCCUGUGCAGCCUCCUCAACAGCAACAUCUAGCUCAUUAUUAUAAUAAGGGUCUUUUGAAAUACCUUCUGUGUGAGAGACAGCUAAGAAAAUCCAGUCUGGCUUUAUUCUGUCUCAGGCAGAAACAGUCUUUAUUUAGCAAACUGCUGCUAACAGCUCUGUCUCAUUAGGCAGUGUUUAGGGAACCAGGCUGCAAUUGUUCUGAAGCCUGGUGUUGCAGAAAGCCUUGCUAAUGAGGUCUAAAGGAGAGGAUUCCUCCUGACAGGCCCACAAUGACCUAGAAAUCCUACUUAAUUCCCUGUCAGUGAAAAAGUGCUGAGUAACGCCGAGGUGCAGAGGCACUGGGGGCUGAUUUGGGAGGGAGGCUGCGGCCUCUGUUCACACUUUGGGCUGUGACGCAAGAGCUCUAGGGCAGAAAAUUCAGCACUGCUCAGCUAUGCUGCAGCUCCUCAGAUGAAGCAGAGGCUUGGCUCGGUGUGGAGAUCAGGGACUCGCUGUGGGAAGGUUUGUAGCCCGCUCUGUAGAAGACUUGCCACCAGGCAGAGCACACAGUGUUGGGAGUGGACAUCUCUGCUUAACUGCAAUAGAGGAGACAGGAUUAGGUGCUUGGAAAGAGCAUGGCUCUAGCUAGGGUAGCUAGGGCACCUCUGGAGGCCCUCAGUGGCAGCACCUGGAUGUGGUCUCAGUGCUUGUCCCCUCCGGAUCAUUCUUACAAACUGUGCCAAACCCCUGCCAAGACGUGCCGCAAUUAACUCAAUUUUACCUAUGUUCCCAGGCGUUGCGUGCCCAGCAGCUCACAAACUUCACCUGCAGUGCUACCAGCAGAGCCUGUGGUAGGUGCUACCUGGGGAGCAGCAUCUCCUGCUGCUCGCUGGCCUCACGCUGGUAUCCCCAGGCUCGGAUGUGGGACGAGCAGCGGCCACUCCAGCAGGCUGUCCGUGUGCCCCGGAGGUGAUGUUAAGCUUUUGACACAUUCUGCCCCAACCACUUUUCCUUAUUUCCUUGGAGGAAAAUGCAGCAGGCAGGCACAAGCCAGGACCACAGACGUGCUGCUUUCAAGUGGUUUGCUUUCGACAAGCAGCGUGCGUGCCGUGGUUAGCAUCCUCUGGGCUGGGUGGCCCGGAGCCAGCCGGGCCAGAAGCUGAGGUGCAGGGACCCAGCUGGAAUGCGGGCUGGAUGCAGCUGACCUCGAAGACCAUCCCCAAUAAAGACCCUCGCAGGCAUGUGCGAGCCACCUGUUUCAGCCAGCAGACGAGGGACUCAACCAGGAAUUCUGGAGCUGAAUGCACGGUCUGUUAAAGAGGGGUCUGAAGACUCCCACCCACCAUGAAGCUGUCGCUGGUGUUUGCUCCUGUACAGACUCAGAGCGCAGGAAUGCAUCUUUGCCCACCACGUGCAAGGCUGCUGCUCCCUCACUGCAGAUGCAUCCCUGUUUAAAGUACAACUCAAAUCCACGUGGAUGUGGAAAAAAAAAAGAUGUGGAAAUAAAUUCACCAGCCAAAACAACAUCUAGAGAAUGUCUUAAAGUCGGUAAUGAUCCGGGGAGUCCCUCAAACCAAGCCCACCAGAAGCAGGACGCUGAAGAGACCUGGCUGCCUCUGCACCUUAUCUGCUUGGGCUCUGCUGGCACAGACAGGGGAUCUGCUCAGAGCCAUGAGGAAAAGACAUAUGCUGCGAAAGGAAGGACCAGCUUUAUUUUACCAGCCUGUGUUCGCACCAGAAGUGUGCUUUAAAGACUGCCUUGCAAAGCAGGAAUUAAAUCCAAAGGUGCCUAUGCAUCUUCCUCGCUGUCAUCCCUUUAUCAGUUAUCUCCAGCCUGCUCGGAGCUAGAAGAUGAAAGGAUCAUAACACCACUUAUCUUCCCACUUAAGAACAUGCUUAGCAGCUUGCUGCUAGAGAGGAGGAUACUCAAGCCUUGGGAAGCAGCUGUAAAUUCUGCAAAUGGGCUCCCUGGCAUUUCUUUGAAGGAGAUAUUGCUUCUCAGUGAGGGAUACAGAAAGGAAACCAGGGAGGGUGGAGAAGAGGGAAGUCUUUGUAGCAAAGAUAACUUUGCCUCAUGUCAAGAACGUGAAGCUGAGUGACAGAUGUGAGACUGAAGGCAUGUGUGUCUCAGAAGUGACCGAGGAUGAGCCAGGAACUGAAAGGCUCUUGGGAAGUAUUUAGGCAGCCAGACUUGUCGUGUUUGUCACUAGACCACAAGAAGCUCCAAAAACACACUCUUCAAGACUGUGCAGUGCUACAGCCAAGAAGCUUAGGGAUCCCCUUACAUGCUGCGGGCAGAACUCGUACACACAACCAGCUCCAGCUCCAACAAACCCUCUGUGCCUCUCCCUUAAGGACAGGUAAGGGGUAAAUCUGCUGCCUCACCUCCAGACCCGGCCCUUGUCUCCUCUCUUCCCAGAGCUCCUUGUUAUCGUGCUGAAGCUGGGUCCGUGCCUUUGUCUAUGCUUAGCAGCUGAGUCAAACCGUCGGAGCUGCCAAGCAGAGUCUGUUCCAAAUAUUUGUGAAGAGAGGAGGCUCGGGGAGCCCGCAGCAGAACGCCGCGAUCCUCCUGGCGAGGAGAACAAUCGCUCUCGUGCACCGGCCGCGGGCUGCUGGUGGGCGACGAGCACGCCUCGGGAAGGAGCUCCCAGUCCCUGCCGUGCUCAUGGACCACCACAAACUGGGAUCUCCAAUUCCCUCUGGCCCCUGGCUAAUGCCCCAGCAAUCCAGCCCUGCACUCCCCAGCCCUGAUUGUGGCUCAGCUGUUGGGACGGAGAACCCAAGACGCAGUUGGUAAUGGGGAGAGGGGGGCACUGGAGCGCCUCAGAAGCUGUUGGCAGCCAAAAUGCUGACUUCAAAGGGCUUAUCUUGCCCUGUGUGGGAGAGCAUGCAGCGCCUGUGGGCAAGGACAGCUGUUUGGCCAGGCCCAGCAGAGAAUUUUUGAGGGCAGAAGAGAGAAGUUUGUACCUGGGUUAACCUCCCCUCCAGCACGCACGAGGCAGAUUUGGCAGGCAGAGCUCCGCACUGCCCUGUUAUUUAUGGGGUGCUGAGAACUGGCCAAAGUAAAGGGAAAACACCAGGGAUGUAAGGAUGCUCUGCAGCUCGAAUAGCCAGGGCUGCUUGAGGGAGGACCCAGGAGAUGCAGGAGGCGAUUACAAGGCGCCCUGGCUUUCAUCUCCAGUUCAAAGGCAACUCCAUCAGCGCUGACCGAAUUGUAGCCGGCUAAUAGCUGCUUGCUGGUGCAUGAGAAAGGAGCUAGGCCAUUACCUCCUCGCUCCCUGAGAGACCAGACCCACCCCACCACUGCAUUACCUGCAAUCCCAGCAGAGUAGCUGAGAGCAGAGCAGGAUACGGAGCAGCACCUCCUCUGCUGCGGGAGCUCCCAGAUCAAUGAGGAACCUCAAGGAGCCUUCACGGCAUGCGUGUCCAUUCCUCCCAGCAAUUUUUUUCCUUUUACCUUAGUUUUUGGUCUCUAAACACCUUGAAAGAACCAACCCACUCCUCCAAGGAUGGGUGACUCCCGGGGCUGCCGCAGAGGUACGGGGCAUUGCACGAGGCAUUGUCCCAGCACGGAGCUGGGACUUCCUCCCCGAAGGUAUGCUACUGAUGCAGACAACCUCGCCCCGACGGGACGGAUGUUUUCCAGGCCCUAAAAAUAACUCGCUCCGAACAACAUGGUGGGGAUGAAGAAAUGUUUAUCUCCAAGCUUCUGCACAGAUCGAUGCAGAACAAAAAGAUUAAAGCGAAGGUUUAAGCGUGCAUUAAAAAUAGCUGUUGAUAAGAUCCUUUUCGGGAUAAAAGCUGUUUUGCAGAAGCAGCAAGAACUGCAGGGCUUUGCUACACCUUCCCUGCCGUUAACUGUGUAAGCUCCCGGAAAUCAUUCAAGAGAGUGUUAGCAGCCAAAGCGCCCCAGGAGGAAGCCCAUUAGCAGGCAGCAGCCUCCUUAAUGGAUCCUCCGGGUACGUGGCAGAGCUGCCUUCCCCGUGGACACUCGGUGCUGUCCACUGCCGCGAUUCACGAGCUGUUCGUGCAGCCCUUCUCAUGCAAUACUCUGGGGAAUUCUCCUAAGCUUUAUGGCAGCCCAGCAGCACAAUGAAUUCAUCCUUUGGUAGCUUUCACUGAAUGAGGACGCCAAUUGGUACGGAGAGUUUUUUUUUCUGUACAGCACAACGCAAAAACACACUGAUAUGUGAACAGAAGCCAUACGUGCUACUGGAAUGGAGGUAAAACAUUAGCAUAUUAUUAAGGCUUUUGUCUUGCAAGGAUAGCAUCCUGGAAAAACAAAAAUAUUGUCUCCAAGUCUGAUCUUGGACCAAAGAGCAAGAGCCCUGUACAUCCAUGUACACCUGUACAUCUAGCAGAGCCUUGUACAUCCAUAUACACCUUGUACAUCUAUGUCCACAUAAAACCCUUGAAUUCUCAGCUGUGCAGCCAUCUCCACUUGAGCAGCCCUGAGCCAGCCAGCAUAGAGCCACCAGGACAGAUGUAACGUGCCAGGAACCUUUCUGCUGGGAGCAAAAAGCAGGAUGGCCAUGCAGGGCACUUCUUGGCUAUAUUAACAGAUACGUAGAAUACUAUGGGCUACUUCAAAAACCGCUGAAGGACUUCAGGAUAAAGCCUUGUAAGAGUUACACACCUUGAGACAUAUUGGGUAAGACUGUCAAAAAUGACAAGUGGAUUGCGUGUCUCAGGUAGAGUGAGCAGGAAAUUCAGGUGCUUUCAACGGACCUGAAUUUUUAGAAAUAUUGUACUCCCUCCCUCCAGAACAGAUUCUAUAACAGAGCGCCCCAAGUCGCUUCCCACCUGUAACAUGCUGGCCACUACACAAAGAAUUGCCCCAAAGGUUAUUAAGGUGGGGAUUUUCGGCCAAGGGUUGUUGAAAGCACAGCCAAGUAAUGGGAACAAAUCCCCUUAGACUUCAGUGGAUUUCUGCAGCUCAGCAGAAAAUCUUACCUAGGCCACCCAAAUAUAUUUUUAAUAGUGUGCUCAAAAAUCUUGAAAUCCUGCUGAACAUUGUCAACUUGUAACUUUUAGCCAGAUGCCAAAGAUGUGGCAAGUCCCUGGCACAGUUUUAAAGUUUUACUGUCCUCAAAUGAGGCAGCAGUUUCCAAAUGAAUUAAGAGAACUCUUAGAAACCUGCUGAUCUUACAUUUGUGGUGUACUAAUCAGGUCCACUGACGGGGAAGGCUAGGAUGUAUUCUGGCUUUAACUCUGAAAUCCCUGGGAUUUAUGACUUCAAAAAAAACCACAAAACCUAAAGCAUUAUCUGAACAGAAUUUAAUUUCAUCUACUUCAUUUAUUACUGCACCGAAACCUUCAUUUCCCCUUGUAACGGACUCUGUUAAGCCCUGUGCUCCACCCCACACGCGGGGCACGACAUAACCCAAUACCUUAUAUUAUUUUUACCGACAAGUGAUUCUUGCACGGCAGAACAAUUCCCAUUAAUAUUUCGAGCUUAUCUCAAGUACCUGUGGGCUGUCAAGCUACAGCAUGUACAUAGCUGCUUUUAAUUAGUUAAUGUCAGCCCCGUGUUGGCUGGCCUCCCAUUCGAUGGCUGUCACCAGUUUGCAGGUCGGUUCAUGGGGAUCCUACCUCCACUGGGCUCUCAGGGGCAGGGGGAAUUGCAGAGGUGAUUUUUAAAUUUAUUUAUUUUUGAAAGUUCCAUUUAUUACACGAGAAAGAGAAAAAAAUCUUCCAUAUCUGCUGCAUUUUCCCCACCAACAGUUUGGUGGGGAAAUACUGUAUCAGUAUUUUUCUCUGAGCAUUUUGAAGGCCUAGCUUAGGAUGCUGCUCUAAUAAGAACUGGGCACCAGCUCAAUUAUGCAGCUGUCUCACUGGCUUUGCACUUCCAAGCUGUGCUUUAGACAGCUGAACUUCAUCAGGGGAGUCACACAAAGGGUUCUUACAGCAUGAAACGCAGCGAGGCAAUCAAAGGUAGCUACUGCUGAGUUCGAAGUGAUAACACAACCUCAGCUGGCCACUCUUGUGCAGGAGGCAUCUUUAAUAUACACCUCCCUCCACGUUUAUCCCCAGGGAAAGCCUGCUUGACCUCCACUUACCCGAAAUGAGAAGCAGAAGUUUGCGAGGAGCUGGGGCUAUCCUAGAGGCCAAUAUUCAGGCGAAGUCCUCAAAGUGCUGCUGUCCUGCUCCCCACAGACAGACCCAUUUGCUGGUACGUCCCUAGCAAGAAUUAGCCUCUCCAGACAAUGCCUCUAAUCUCAAGUUAAUACUGAGGGGAUUAGCACUCGGAAGGGGAGUAAGGAAACACAGGCUGAGCUUUCCAUCCAAAAAAAGUCAAGGUUUUUCUUAUUUUUAAAAAUGUUCUUCUAACUGCUGAAAACUCUCAUGUGCAGUAUGAGAACUGAAACCCAGCAGGUAUUUCCUCUGCCCCAAGCCCAGCUAUUGACUGAACCGUACCCACACAGUAAUCCAACCCCUUUGGGUGGAAAAUUAAGACUAAGUCCAGAACAUUCAUUAGUGCAAUGAAAUGCAUUAAAUGGUUCUUAGGCUAUGCCCUGACUCAGCAAGGAGUGGGUUUUGUUGCAUGGGACACACCCUCCACUACAUGGAACUGACACUUAGUGGUUGAAUUUUGGUUUUGGUCCUGUGUUUAUUAAAAUGUGAUACUCCCUGGGGGUUCAGAGAGAGGGCAAACAUCCCUUAUCAAUUGGAAAAACAUACUCAGUUCAUACUCCAGUUGAUGGAGAAGCCAGAUUGAGAAUGUAAUUAUCCUAAUUAAUUUCAUAUCGUGAAUUCAUCUUUUUUUAAUAUAUAAACAUCAGUUUCAAAGCAGGCCACCAGCUUUUAUGCAUAGAGUAGCUGUUUUUUCCUGUUGAGGGACACGUUUGCAACGCGUGCUCUUGUUUUUGCCGAGAAGAACUCCUGAGGACUUAGGAUCCUGAAAAAUCCUUGUUGUUGCUGUGGAAAUUUUCCCCUUGCUAACUCCCUCCCACCACUUUCAGGAGUUCACGAACCUUCUCCGGAUCAUCAGGGCUUGAUGCAAUCAACUGUGAAGCAUUAGCUCUAAAUAUACAACUGGGAGGCCAGUGCUGCUUCAACACCCAGCCACUCAUCGCACAGAGCGAUAACGCAGCGAGCGCAAGCUGCAAGAGAAACUUAAAUAAUAAUCCAAGAGAGCUUCAGGGGAAGCGUCAGCAAGUGGGGGGUGACGCUUUGGAGCUGGAAAAAGAUGGGGGCAAACUGGCAGGAGAGCCAGCAGCAGGCCCACCCACAGCCAUUAUGCAGAGCAGCUUUUGUCCUUGUUUGUGGAGUUGAACGCAGCUCAUUCUGCUUUAUUUAUUUGUUUAGGUGAGUUUUGGCCGUUCAGCGUGUGUUCCCGGUGCAAAUCCUUAGUGUGCGGACAGAUAACUGAAAACCAGCCCCAGCACGCACGCCAAGAGACCCAGGAUACAGCUCUCAGAAGGAAAAUAAACAGGUCAGUAAAAGAACUGAAGUUCAUGACGAGGGCAACAUCUCUGUCCGCAGCUCUUUCUCCUCACAAAAAUCCCACAUUUUAUUUUCUGAAUCUGCUUCUGCUUCAGUAACCCAGUAAUUCUCUGAAAUAUUCAGAGCAAGAGGGAAUGUGCUGGUGUCACGUUCUUUGUCAACAGCUGUAAAGUUGAUGCGAUCCAAGUACUCUUUGGUGGUGAUGCCAGAUACUGUUUGCCUGAAUAGGAACACCAAGCCCUUCCUAAGAAUUUUUUUGAAGAGGUUAUUAAGCAUCUCGUUUUGGCAUGGCUCUCAGAGCUGUUUGACCUGAUUUAUUUAUUUUAUUUUUUUUUUUACUGCCUGUUGAAAAGAAAGCAAUACUGCAAAUACUUCCCAUCAGAAAACGACAACAAGCAACUUAUCAUAACUGCAAGAAAGCUAACAACAUUUCCACCCAGUGAUUUUUGGCACUGACAGCUGACUCAGAACAGUUGUUGGUGGCUGGGACAGAUGGACUUCAUGUAUAUUUAAAAAAAAAAAAAAAAAGAAAUAAAGAAAAAAAGAUAAAGUACUUCUACUUUGUAGGUUUGGAAAAAUCUCUUGCAAAAUCAGAAUUAAAUCAAAGUAAGAUUUGAAUGCAUUGAACUUUAAAAGUGAAAUGUGCCUGGGACUGGUCCUAUCUGCCCAUCAAGGACUAUAAAUCAUCAGCAUGUUUUAUUUUUAUCAAGAAAUACUUGAGAAUUUUGGGAAGGGCUCCACGGUUCUGCCCUCAGUCCAACACGUGAAACCCUCAAACACCAGCUUGCACCAGAGCCAUCGAGGCAGGACUUCACACUGAUGUCAGCUCUAAGCCCUGCUUUCCAUCACUGACGCCAAUAACUUCCGCUGGUAUAAUUAUGACCAUGGCAUUUCCCUGAUGUGCAGAAUCUUUAGAUGCUUUUAGUGCCUAGAGCAGGGCACGCGCUGACUGCUCCAUGCUUCACUGGCUUCAGUUUCAUGGCAAAGUUUUAAGGCCAUGAUCAAGAGAUGGCAAUCCCUGCUCUGCAGUGCUUGCAGUCUAAGAAACACCUUAAAUUUCUAAGGUGUUUUUGCAGUUUGGGAUCACAGCAUCUCGUUAGCCUUGUCAGCUUCCUUUUCUGCUUUUUUUUUUUUUUAACUAGUCAGUUAGCAUCAAAGGCAUCCUUAUGGUCUCAGUCCUCUGGGACUAUCCAGCACCAAGCACCAGCUUCAGCACAGGUUUAAUCUUAUGUACUUCUGACAGCCUCACCUUAAUGUAGUGGGAUGCCCCCGCUAUGUAAACUCCAGUGUAGUGGAACAAGCAGCUUUAUUCUCAGCCUUGGUUCUUUCUACUCCUCAGGGCUUUUGACCCCAAAUUUGAAAACAGAUGGAAACCAUCACAGGGGGAGGCACGCCAAGGCAGCCAGAACCCACUGCGUUAAAACUGGGAGCAAGCCUGCUACUCGACUGAUAGGUGUUCUCAAGCAGAGGCCUGAAACUAGUGUAUUUGGCUGUAUUUAGCAACUUUUCCUGUCAAAAUAAAUGCAGAACUAUCUGUAGUUCAUUUCCAGUAUUGCUGCCUUUUAAGCCAGAUUCAAGAGGACACUUCAGCACUGCUCACACAGAGGAGGAAGGAAAUGAAGCACCUUUCCACCCUGCAGCCCGACCAUAGGGAAAAGUUGUGUGAAGUCUGAUAUUUUUGGCAUUCAAAUGGAGCACCUGAAUCCAAAGUUAGGACCUGGAAGAGUGUGAUGCUCCAGGAUCAGGUACUCAUGAUUCCUCCUGCUGAAACUCAGCUACAAAGCACAGCAAAGUGAGUGAAAAGCUGGAGAGCACAGCAGGACCAGCUCCUUGUCCCUCGGGGGAACUCCACCCGAGUGUCUAAGUCACUCCUUUCAUUUUUUUGGGCAAUACUGCCCAAAUCUCACUUCAUUCAAGGCCACAAAGGCUCUACAAAUUGUUUGGAAUUAAAGAAUCAUUUUGGUUUGCCCUUAGAUAAGAUGUUUGAAAUAUUCCAACACACUUCAGGCUUGAGCUGACGCAGUUAUUUGUGUGUCUGUGCACACCCGUGCGCAGCCCGGUGUAUUUCAGUAGCUGAACUUUCCAAAUCAGUUGCUGAUUGUCACCCUAACCCUGCUCCAUCCCUUUUC